GACGAACGCUGGCGGCGUGCUUAACACAUGCAAGUCGAACGGAAAGGCCCUGCUUUUUUGGGGUGCUCGAGUGGCGAACGGGUGAGUAACACGUGAGUAACCUGCCCUUGACUUUGGGAUAACUUCAGGAAACUGGGGCCAAUACCGGAUAGGAGCUCCUGCUGCAUGGUGGGGGUUGGAAAGUUUCGGCGGUUGGGGAUGGACUCGCGGCUUAUCAGCUUGGUGGUGGGGUAGUGGCUUACCAAGGCUUUGACGGGUAGCCGGCCUGAGAGGGUGACCGGCCACAUUGGGACUGAGAUACGGGCCAGACUCCUACGGGGGGCAGCAGUGGGGAAUAUUGCACAAUGGGCGGAAGCCGGAUGCAGCAACGCCGCGUGCGGGAUGACGGCCUUCGGGUUGUAAACCGCUUGCGCCUGUGACGAAGCGUGAGUGACGGUAAUGGGUAAAGAAGCACCGGCUAACUACGUG
rnacentral:rRNA from 1 species